UACGUAGGGACCAAGCGUUGUUCGGAUUUACUGGGCGUAAAGGGCGCGUAGGCGGCGUGUUAAGUCAGCUGUGAAAUCUCCAAGCUUAACUUGGAACGGUCAGCUGAUACUGAUGUGCUAGAGUGCAGAAAGGGCAAUCGGAAUUCUUGGUGUAGCGGUGAAAUGCGUAGAUAUCAAGAGGAACACCUGCGGCGAAGGCGGGUUGCUGGGCCGACACUGACGCUGAGGCGCGAAAGCUAGGGGAGCGAACGGG
rnacentral:rRNA from 1 species